UACGGGGGGAGCAAGCGUUGUUCGGAUUUACUGGGCGUAAAGGGCGCGUAGGCGGCCAGCACAAGUCAGUUGUGAAAUCUCCGAGCUUAACUCGGAAAGGUCAACUGAUACUGUGCGGCUAGAGUGCGGAAGGGGCAACUGGAAUUCUUGGUGUAGCGGUGAAAUGCGUAGAUAUCAAGAGGAACACCUGCGGCGAAGGCGGGUUGCUGGGCCGACACUGACGCUGAGGCGCGAAAGCCAGGGUAGCGAACCGG
rnacentral:rRNA from 1 species